rnacentral:rRNA from 1 species
GUGAACCUUGCAUAAGGAUAAUU